rfam:Zhouia amylolytica AD3 51.P278.1_22, whole genome shotgun sequence.
GGAAACGAGGAAGGAUUUGACUGAUUGCAACCUCAAAAAAAAAUGCUAAAGCAGUUACU